UCCCNGUGGCUUACAGAUCCGUUUAUGC
rnacentral:piRNA from 1 species